AGCUUUAUAGUCAUUUGAUGAUAUUAGACUGCAAUUCUGAAGGAGUAAAUAGUAUUACUAAGGCUU
rnacentral:tRNA from 1 species